rnacentral:rRNA from 1 species
AUUGAACGCUGGCGGCAUGCCUUACACAUGCAAGUCGAACGGUAGCAGGUCUUUCGGGCUGCUGUCGUGUGGCGAACGGGCGGGUGAUUCAUCGGAACGUGACUAGUCGUUGGGGAUAACUACUCGAAAGAAUGCCUAAUCCCGUAUGGGAUCUAUGGAUGAAACCAUGGGACCUUUAGGCAUUGUGCUACUAGAUCGGACGUUGACAGGUUAGGUAGUUGGUGGAAUAAAAGCUUACCAAGGCGACGUUCUGUAGCUGGUCUGAGAGGCCGAUCAGCCACACUGGGAAUGAGAGACGGCCCAGACUCCUACGGGAGGCAGCAGUGGGGAAUUUUGGACAAUGGGCGAAAGCCUGACGGAGCAAUGCCGCGUGGAUGAUGAAGGCCUUCGGAUUGUAAACUUCUUUUGUUCGGAACGAAAAGUCUUGUGGUAACAGCUUGAGAUCAUGACGGUACCGAAACAAUAAGCACCGGCUAACUACGUG